rnacentral:rRNA from 1 species
AUGGAUGCCGAGGUGUUCAAGGCGCUGCUCCGUUUCGCGUAUACUGGCUCCUUGCCAGAGAUGCGCAAGGAAGAGGAAGAUGUCACCUGCCAGCAUCUGCUCGUCGCGGCGGACAGGUACAGCAUGGAGCGGCUGAAGCUGAUCUGCGAGGAGAAGCUGUGCGAGUACAUCGAUGUUGGCAGGGCGGCGACCAUCCUCAUGCUAGCCGAGCAGCACCACUGUGAGGGGCUGAAGAAGGCGUGCUUCAAUUUUCUCGCCUUGCCGGCAAAUCUGAGAGCCACCGUGGCCACCGACGGCUUACAACAUCUCAGCGAGAGCUGGCCGUCUCUUAUGGUCAAGCUCAUGGCCAUGUCAUUGGAUAACGCC